CAGUCUCCUGCCCCCAGGAGUGAGCAUGAAGUUGGAUCCAACACUCCAUCCAUCCUGAGGUCUAGAGGCAUUAAUGGCACGAGCAUGUUCUGGAUGGUUUUGGAGAGAAGAGCAAUCUUCCCUACACAUGAUUGCUUAGAUGAGCCUCCAAACGCUGGCAUGUUCUGAAGAAGGAAGCGGAGAGGCGCGGGCGUUGCAGAGGGAGCCUCGAGCUGAGCUGGGCUGGGAGUCAUUAAAGGAGGCGGCUGUCCCCGGGGCCCCAGACGGCAUCUCAUCAAGAUGCCCUGGAACUCGCCCAGCUUUGCUUCAGAUGUUCCAAGCUCAUUUUGUUCCGGUUAAUGUAACCUGUAAGAAUGUGACAAACAGCAGUUGGAAGGAUGUUCCUAUUUCAUUCCAUACGUCAUUGAACCAGAAUCAUUGGUCCUGGGUGCCCCAUCAAUAAGUUGGGGGAAGAUCUCAGAGCACGGAGGGGCAGCUUUCCAAGGGAGCUGGCACCACAGAGACAUUCCAGCCCUGCCUGGUUUUCCUUACACUACAGAGACCACUGAGCAUCCUGGGGCCUGUUCCCAUCUUUGAAUGUGAACCAGUUAAUUACUGCUGACAUAAACGAUGGCUGGCGCCUAGUUGCUGGCGCCCUGAAUCAAAGUCUCAGUUUUCCAGGUCUACGGAAUAGCGUGCAUGAAGUACCAACUUUUCUCACCGUCAUUCACAAGUGCCACCUCAAUCCCGUGAGCACUCAUUGCACUGUCAGAAGAAACAUGGGGCUCCGACUCUUAGGGCUGACUUUGGGGCUUCUCACCUUGACUGAUGGUGGUCAUGUGAAAAUACUUGACCGCAGUGCUGGGAAACCCUUUCUGGUCAGGUUAGGCUUCCUGCAGGAGUAGUGACAGUGCAGAGGCAGGGAACGUGGGCUUAGGGGAGGAUGUGUGUGUACAUAUUGAAAGGGAAGUUGCUAGGGGCUCAUUCCUUCAUCCAACCAUUGAAUAAAGGACUGUUUUUCCC
rnacentral:lncRNA from 1 species